GCCUACAAUAUUUAAUAACUAAUGUCACACAUUGCACAUAUUUGAGAAAACCAAAAUAUUAUUUUUUUAAAUAGAAAUAAAACAAAGAACAAAUCGUUGUCCCACUGUCCUCGUGACCCACUCACCAGCGUAAUUUUUCGUUCUGAUCCAUCUAACUAAAGCCGUAGAAUCACGAUAAUGCUUAUCCGAUCUUUUUCGUUUGCAUAAUAUGAUCAGUAAUAGCAUCAAUAUUCGCGGGAGCUACGCAUGAAAAAAAUCUGUAUAAACAGCAUUUGUGCCCUAGUUAAUUAAUGAAGCUAUUAAUAACAUGCUGAUUUAGAAGAAAAAAUGAAUUUAAUUGAUUAUAAAUUCAGAUCCCGAACAGCAUUACUAUAUAUAGAUUCAAGUUCAGAAUCAACGUGAUUUAAAUGUCCGUUAGGUGGAUUUAUUUAAUGUUUAAGAAUCUUUGCUUCUCUGUACACUAAAACACCAUAAUACCAUAUACUAGUAUAUUUAAAUUAGUUAGGCCGAUACGUUAUUAUACUACCCAUGUGCGUAUUCUGUAAGGAUAUAUACAUAUAUUUGCAAUCUUGCAUGUAAAGAAACGUUCCCUAGGAAUUAUUGGCUCUUCAUAUAAACCAAAGGCCAACGAAGCAUCUUCCAAAGAACAGAAAACAAAAACUUGCUAAUAAUUGCUUGCAAGUAAAUGCCACGUUAUAUUUUAGUCGACCAAUUAUCAUAAACCAUUAAAAUAAAAUAAUAAUUUGGAUAUUUGUAUAUAUCAGUACUGGUAUAUAUACCUUUGGUUUUUCAUGCAAGACUUGGCAAAGACGAGCACUAUAUCUAGAAGACGUGGAAAAUAGAGAGAAGCAGAAACCAAAAAGAAUAUUAAAAAGAACAAAUUGUUGUUCUUUGUCCAAAAUGGUGACUAUGAAACUUGAGAUUUGCAUCGAGUUGGUGAAACUAACCGUAGAUUUCGUCGCUGCCGUGGCAGAAUCAAUCGAAGUAGCUUUCCGUAACCGUCCUCCGCCGCCUAUUCC
rnacentral:lncRNA from 1 species